rnacentral:lncRNA from 1 species
CUGGCUACAUCACUAUAUGGAUCGAAAUGGUAAGAGCUUUCUUGGACAAGUAUUUCCUAACAUCUAAAGCCAUUGAGAUAAGAAGGAAAAUUAAUGGGAUCAAGCAAAAAGAAUAUGAGGAGUUGUAAAAAUAUUGGGAUUCAAAAAGUUAUGCACAAGUUGCCCCCAACGUGACAUCUCCAACUAAUCUCUUAUCCAAUACUUCUAUGAAGGUCUUCUAUCCUCAGAAAGGAGGCUCAUUGAUGCAGCAUGUGGAGAAUCUACUGAGAAUAAGACACCUCAAUCCAUUAGAGAGUUGAUUUAUAUCAUGGCCGCAACUUCCAAACAAUAUAGAGACUAAAAGGAGCAACCAAGAAGGGUUAAUGAGAUAAAUGUGUCUUCUCUUGAAUCGAAAAUUUCUAAGUUAACAUCUACAGCACAAAGUCUUAUUGUAGGAAAUAAGCAACAAAUAAGAGCAUGUGAAAUUUGUGCAAACUUAUGAACAUUUAAUAAAUAUGUGUCCCACACUCCAAAAAGAUCGAUAACAUGUCAAUGCCAUAAGAGGUUUUGAGGAACAUCAACAACAAAGUAAGACCUUUACUCCAAUACAUACAAUCCAUGAUGGAGGGAUUAUCCAAAUUUUAACCAUGUGAAGUAACAAUUUUCAGAAUUUUCAGUAUCAUUACCCUCAACAAGCACCUCCUUAAAAGUAAGGUAUGCCUCUUGAAAAUAUUGUAAAAUCUCUUGCUAAUUUUGUAUAAAGUUUAAAAAAUCAAAUGAGCCAAAUGGCUUCAUAAGUAGUUUGGAAUCAUGAGGCUUUACCAUUUCAAGUGAUAGUCAAUCCAUAGUAAAAUGUAAGUGUAAUAAUUUUAAUGAAUGAAACAGAGUUGCAAGAAAUUCUACAUGAGGAGAGAUUUAGGCAAAGAUCAGUAAUAGAUCUGCAGAAUACACCUGCAGGAUUUUCAUAUAUAAGGCAUAAAAUUCCACUAUGAGUACAAACUUAGGCAAAUCUUAAUGACUAUACAACAAACAAUACUUGCAGAAAUUUAACAGAAAAAGGAGAAAACUUGCUGCAAAAACAUACCAGGAAAAAGAAUUUGUCAUUUCACCAUCCUUCCUCAGAGAUUUACCAAAUCUAAAAAAGAAAAAGAGUAAACAGAAAUUCUAGAAACUUUUUACAAGAUUGAGAUAAGCAUUCUUUUAAUUGAUGUCAUUAAGCAAGUGUUAU